UUACCGAGUUAUACAACUCAUCAACCCUGUGAACAUACCUAAAACGUUGCUUCGGCGGGAACAGACGGCCCUGUAACAACGGGCCGCCCCCGCCAGAGGACCCCUAACUCUGUUUUUAUAAUGUUUUUCUGAGUAAACAAGCAAAUAAAUUAAAACUUUCAACAACGGAUCUCUUGGCUCUGGCAUCGAUGAAGAACGCAGCGAAAUGCGAUAAGUAAUGUGAAUUGCAGAAUUCAGUGAAUCAUCGAAUCUUUGAACGCACAUUGCGCCCGCCAGUAUUCUGGCGGGCAUGCCUGUUCGAGCGUCAUUACAACCCUCAGGCCCCCGGGCCUGGCGUUGGGGAUCGGCAGAAGCCCCCUGUGGGCACACGCCGUCCCUCAAAUACAGUGGCGGUCCCGCCGCAGCUUCCAUUGCGUAGUAGCUAACACCUCGCAACUGGAGAGCGGCGCGGCCAUGCCGUAAAACACCCAACUUCUGAAUGUUGACCUCGAAUCAGGUAGGAAUACCCGCUGAACUUAAGCAUAUCAAA
rnacentral:rRNA from 1 species